rnacentral:rRNA from 1 species
ACGGGGGCCCGCACAAGCGGUGGAGCAUGUGGUUUAAUUCAAAGCAACGCGCAGAACCUUACCAGCCCUUGACAUACCGGUCGCGGACACAGAGAUGUGUCUUUCAGUUCGGCUGGACCGGAUACAGGUGCUGCAUGGCUGUCGUCAGCUCGUGUCGUGAGAUGUUGGGUUAAGUCCCGCAACGAGCGCAACCCUCGCCCUUAGUUGCCAGCAUUUAGUUGGGCACUCUAAGGGGACUGCCGGUGAUAAGCCGAGAGGAAGGUGGGGAUGACGUCAAGUCCUCAUGGCCCUUACGGGCUGGGCUACACACGUGCUACAAUGGUGGUGACAGUGGGCAGCGAGCACGCGAGUGUGAGCUAAUCUCCAAAAGCCAUCUCAGUUCGGAUUGCACUCUGCAACUCGAGUGCAUGAAGCUGGAAUCGCUAGUAAUCGCGCAUCAGCCAUGGCGCGGUGAAUACGUUCCCGGGCCUU